rnacentral:lncRNA from 1 species
UUAGAUAUUCCUUCACUUGUUCUCCACUUUUUUCUCAUCCUUCCUUUUUCACAUUUACCCUCGACAUGACAAUCAUAUAUUUUCUUUGUUACUUGCUAUUCACUUCACAUAAUCAAACCAUCUCAAAGUUGAUUUAUAAACUACAUGUAUUGUAUUCUUUUUCACUCCAUCCUGUUAUUGUAUUUCAUCAUUUGAGACACAAUUAUAUCAUAUAUCACUCCUACUACACCUCUCAAGUGUCUCAUCUCCAUUGCAUUUGUACACUUCUUUGCCUUUCAUAUCAUAUUCAGGCUCACUUCUAUAUAUCAGUGUUGGAACCAGCACAUACUAAUAUUCAGUAUCUUUGUCUUUAGCUUAUUUGUCAGAUAGAAAAGCUUGUGAAAAAAUAACAUUUACCACAAUGGUUAACCUUUAAGAAUAUUCCUGAUCCUGUUUGUCCAAGACUCUUCAGGUAUAUCAAAAAGGAUAAGAAUCUGAAAACUAUUUGUCGCAUGGUCAAAAAAUAUAGGUUGCUACUUGUAGAUUUUGAACAUGUCUUACCUUAGCCUGUGCCUUAAUAAGCUAAGCAAUUAUUGAUAUGCAAUCACAUGUGCACAGCAAUUUCUUGAUAGGAUUAAACAAAUAAUGCCUGCCCAUGGAGAUACUAUCAUAGUGUAUGACUAUGAAAAGCUACAUCUGUCCCUACAGCUAAUCACUACUUGUCUAUAUUUCUACAGAUUCCUCUUGGAAAAAGUUACUAAUUCUGAAAUAUAGCACCAUUACUCAGGGACAUUGCAGUGUUAGUUUGUUAUGAUUUCUGUUUUGAAUUUAACAACAAAUUCUACAAACUAACUCAUGGAGUAUCUAUAGAUAGCUUAAUGCAGAUGUCUUAGCAGAAAUUGUACUGAGAUAUAUGGAGAAAGAUAUCCU